rnacentral:rRNA from 1 species
UACGUAGGGCGCAAGCGUUGUCCGGAAUUAUUGGGCGUAAAGAGCUCGUAGGCGGCCAGUUGCGUCCGCUGUGAAAUCCCGGGGCUUAACCCCGGGCGUGCAGUGGAUACGGGCUGGCUAGAGGCAGGCAGGGGAGAACGGAAUUCCCGGUGUAGCGGUGAAAUGCACAGAUAUCGGGAGGAACACCGGUGGCGAAGGCGGUUCUCUGGGCCUGUACUGACGCUGAGGAGCGAAAGCGUGGGGAGCAAACAGG